rnacentral:rRNA from 1 species
UACGUAGGGGCCGAGCGUUGUCCGGAGUUAUUGGGCGUAAAGCGCGCGCAGGCGGCUUCGCGCGCCCGACGUGAAAGCCCCCGGCUUAACCGGGGAGAGUCGUUGGGGACGGCGGAGCUUGAGGGCGGGAGAGGUCGGUGGAAUUCCCGGUGUAGAGGUGAAAUGCGUAGAGACCGGGAGGAACACCUGUGGCGAAGGCGGCCGACUGGGCCGACCCUGACGCUGAGGCGCGAAGGCGUGGGGAGCGAACGGG